UACGUAGGUGGCAAGCGUUAUCCGGAUUUAUUGGGCGUAAAGAGAACGCAGGCGGUCUUUUAAGUCUGAUGUGAAAGCCUUCGGCUUAACCGGAGUAGUGCAUUGGAAACUGGGAGACUUGAGUGCAGAAGAGGAGAGUGGAACUCCAUGUGUAGCGGUGAAAUGCAUAGAUAUCACGCAGAACUCCGAUUGCGAAGGCAGCGUACCGGCGCCCAACUGACGCUGAAGCACGAAGGCGUGGGUAUCGAACAGG
rnacentral:rRNA from 1 species